UCAAAUAUAGUGGCGGAGCUAGGUCGUGCUCUAAGCGUAGUAACCAAAUUCUCGCUUCUGAAGCCGGCCCGGGUCCUGCCGUAAAACCCCCUAUAUUUUUCUGGUUGACCUCGGAUCAGGUAGGAAUACCCGCUGAACUUAAGCAUAUCAAUAAGCGGAGGAAAAGAAACCAACAGGGAUUGCCCUAGUAACGGCGAGUGAAGCGGCAACAGCUCAAAUUUGAAAUCUGGCCUUCGGGUCCGAGUUGUAAUUUGCAGAGGAUGCUUUUGGCGCGGUGCCUUCCGAGUUCCCUGGAACGGGACGCCUUAGAGGGUGAGAGCCCCGUACGGUUGGACACCAAGCCUCUGUAAAGCUCCUUCGACGAGUCGAGUAGUUUGGGAAUGCUGCUCUAAAUGGGAGGUAAAUUUCUUCUAAAGCUAAAUACCGGCCAGAGACCGAUAGCGCACAAGUAGAGUGAUCGAAAGAUGAAAAGCACUUUGAAAAGAGGGUUAAAUAGCACGUGAAAUUGUUGAAAGGGAAGCGUUUACGGCCAGACCUUUUCCUGGCGGAUCAUCUGGUGUUCUCACCAGUGCACUUCGCCAGGUUUAGGCCAGCAUCGGCUUCUGUAGGGGGAUAAAAGCAGUGGGAAAGUAGCUCCCUCGGGAGUGUUACAGCCCUAAGCAUAAUACCC
rnacentral:rRNA from 1 species